AACGCGUGAGCAGAGAACACUGGACUGAAAGUUAAAUCCUGAAGAAAUAAAUGCCUCACAGGCAAAGGAAAAAAGAGCAUUUUUUAGAAAAGGAGGAGGAUUGCUUUGAAGACAGGAGGGGACCCAGGAGAGAGAACAAGUAGAAGUUCCAGAGGCAGGAAGUCAUGUGAGUGGCUAAGGACAGGCUGAGAACCUGGCUUCUGACUGCGUACACUGCUGCCCUCUUGUGGACGUGGGCCCAGCCGUGUCAGUGGCUGACGCAUUCUUUGUCACCUGAAGUCUGGACGAACAGGCUACUUAGGCAGCUUGAGACAUCCAUCAUCCUGGAGACAGACCAGGAUUUGUAACAGAAGGACUGUCAAAAAGCAAGAACAAGGUAAUAUUUCUCUUUUGGUAUGUAAAAUGGAAUUAUCCAGAAAGAAAAAACUAGGAAUGUCUUCAAAGAUUUCUAAAUGUCUUUAAUAUUCCCCUUUAGCAGACAAUGACAAUGAAGCCUGAUUGGACCAGUAUUCUGUAUCCUCCUGCCAUGUGGAGAAAGCACCCUGGUCCUCUAUUAAGGCAUUCCUAAGAAAUAGGGUGAAAGAUGGAGGGUAUGAUGACCUUUGGGGCCUAUGAGAUAGGGAGGUGUGGGGAGAAGGUGAGAAACAGGGAGGGAAAGAGGGACAGAGAGAGAAGGGAGAGAAUCAGUGUAGAUUAUGUAUUCCCCCAGCUUUGGUCCAACAAUUAGAGAGGCACCGUGGUGUAGAGGGGACACUUGUCCUUCUUCCCACUUCAGACCCUGUUAAAGGGACAGUCAUCCCACCCUGGGCUGUGACCAUAUCCAGAUGGCAGUGUGGUGUGGCCAGGCAAAGGAAGCCUCAAGGUUUAGCCUUCUUGAGCCAUCCGUAUCUCCAGAGAGGCACAGAUAAGCCAGAAUACAGUGGGAGAUUGCCAGGGACAAAGAUAGCCAUGACUGAAAGGCUUCUAAAAUAUUCUAACUUGUAAAUAUGUGACAAAAACUUAGGCUGAUUAAUUAUCCACCGAAAUCUACAGUAAAGAAACUAUCCCAUGUUUUCUUCUUUAAAAUUGUAAACACUGGCAAAAUACAGAAAACCAUGAGUUAGUGGGAGAAAAGUUAUAGACAAAACCAAGGAGCCAUGUGUGCUUGGUCAGUCUGAAUUGGCUUUUCUUUUUUGCAGUACUGGGGAUUGAACUCAGAGACACUUACCACCGAGCUAUGUCCCCAGCCCUUUUUAUUUUUUAUUUUGACACAGUAUCUCACUAAGUGGCUGAGUUGCUCAGACUGGGCUCGAACUUGUGAUCUUUCUGCCUCAGCCCCCUAGAGUGUUGGGAUUACAUGGUGCAUGUCUGGCCUAGUGAACUUUGGUAGAAGUUGAACGCUGCCACACUGGUUUCCACCAUCUCUCGUCAACCCUGGUGGAGCCAGGAAUCACAGUUAGCAGGAGGGUGAGGAGAUGUGGACAUAUCAAGCAGAAGAGGAGGGAGUGACCAGGGCUCCACCUGCUCUCCAGGAAAGAAAGCUUCUUGCUUUCAGCAGGCUCCUAUGGAUGGGGCAUGAUGGCCAGGCUCUCAUCAUCCCAUGGGACUUCUAGUGACUAAACUGGGAUUAUAUUUGUGGCUUACAAAGAGUAUAGGACAUUUUUCUCUUAAAUCACGUAAGUGUGAGCUCAUGAGGGCUGUCACAGUUUUCAUCUAGAGAUACUGGAGGAUUUUUUUCCCACUGAAUAUAUUUUAAAGGCACACCUCCUGUGAGUGCAAUUUGUUCACAAUACCAGUUAUACCAUAGGACAGUUCUUAUGUAAUAAUAUUGGCUGAAAAAGCAAUACUUAGAUGACUUAUCUAAUAAGACACAGCUAUGUGAAAAGAUGGGAAGACAAGGAGGUGAAGGUGGAGUGAGGGAGGGGAGAGAAAGAGAGAUUAGGCCUGAGACAGAAGGCCUAAAGACAGCAUUGUCUUCCAGCCCCUCAGCCAUCCCUCAUUUGCACCUACUGUGUGGUCUGGUGGCUUCCUUCUCAGUACAGUAACAAUUUUGCAGGAGUAUUAGUUUAUAUGUCUCUGAUUGAAAGUAAACUGCUAGAGGAAAAGAACAGUGUCUUUAUUUAGCCUUCUCUCUAGGGCCCAGAACAGAGAAUAAAUUUAGUUAAACAUAAAAGGAGACACUAUUGAAGCAAACAGGGAAUGCAGGAAACAGGUCAAAUGCUUUGCCUGAAUCCCCUGAACUGUUGCCCUCUCUCUCCCUUCUCUUUACUCCUUGAACAUUUUCCUUGCCUUUCAAAAUGCCCCCAGCCUCGCAUUAGUUAGCGGUGUGCUCAUAUUAAUCAUCAGUAUAUGAUUUGAGGAUUGGGUCCAUGUAACAGUGAUAAUUAUAGCUAUAAUUAUCUGGUACUUUCUAUAUGCCAGGCAGGACUGCAUAUUAGUCUAUACCUAUCUUUUUACAAGACAGAUUCUGAUCCUGUAGGCUGGGCUGGACCUAAGUUGCUGCAUUCCUAAAAGAUUGAUGCCAAUGCUGCUGGUCCCAGGACACACUGGGAAUAGCAAAAUGCAAAGGACUUUAACUCAUUUAAUUCUUAAACCAAUCCAGCGAAGCACUCAUCGAGUUUUGCAAUAAGAUCCUCUGAGGGUCAGAGCAGGUAAGUGAGGGUCACACAUGUAUUCAUGACACUGGGUUCAGACUUAGUGCUGUCUAACUUAAAAGUAUGAGACCUUUCCAAAGUGCUAUAACUUGUCAAGAGGUUUCUUUUAGGAGCUUAUCAAGGUUGGACCCUGGGAAGACAAGAGAGAGAAAACUGUGUUUCUGAAGGUAAGCUAUGGUGCUGGAGGAAGGCAAGAGUCUGCCAGGAGUUGCUGUACGCUUGAGAGAGGAUCUGUUUCUGGAGUGCCCUGGCUUGCUCCUGGCCUGUGCCAGCCCCACGCCUGUGAGGGAAGGGCUCUGCUCCAGACCUCUGUUGCGCUCUGCUUGGUGGGCUAGCUCCCAAAUGGAAGCAUUGGCCUUCAUGGGAAAAGCCUGUUUUCAGGAGAAGUGAACACAGUAAUUCACACCUGAAAUCCCUCCAGGCUCAUUGGCUCAUCUCAACAAACUGGGUGUGAGGCAGGAGGGGCUGCCUCCCUUGUACCAAUGGGAAAACAGGUUCAGACUGGCUCUGUAACCUGGUCUUCAGAUUCUUGCAAAUCCUGUGUGACACUAUACUCAGUUCUUUGGGGUUCAUGAAAGGAGAGUCUGGGAAGAACUAAAUAUGCUCCUCUUUGAUGAAGGGAACUGUCCCUGGGUUCAAAUCCCACCACUUCUGCUCACUAAGCUGUGAGCAGGUCCCUGGGUUUGGUAGAGUAUCUAUGCAGUGAGUGUAAUCGUGUGUAUGCCUAUUUACAUAGAUAGUGGAUCCUUAUUCCUCUCGGAUUCCCUACUUGUGAAUAUUCCAGCUCACUAAAACUUAUUUGUAAUCCCCCAUUCAGUAUUCAUGUUUUGUUUCUUAUUUGGUGGUACUGGGGUUCAAACCCAGGGCCUCACACAUGCUAGGCAAGUGCUCUGCCAUCAAGCCACGCCCCUAGUCUUCACAGUGUUUUUGCAGUCCUUUGUGACCCUGUACUGAGUAGUGAAAAUUAUAAGUCAUCUGACACACACAUUCCUAGCUCAAGGUGAUUUAACCGUGGCGGCUCCUUUGGGAAUUGUCCUUGGCAAUGACACUUUCACUUCCCCUCCCCAGUCUUUUUUGAAGGAUUACACCUUCUGCCAGCAUUCUCAAUUCUAAAUGGUUGAGAUGUUCACUGCUAAUUGAUUUUUUUUUUUUAGAUUUACAAAACCCAGAACAUCUGGUGCCCUUUGUAACACCCCUCCUUAGUCCUUAGUUCUGUGCACCAACUAAAAGGAAGGAUGUAAAUUGCUGGGCAGUUUAAGUUGCAGUAAAGUGAUAUGUUCAUUUUAAGAAAAUAUAAGAAGUAGCCACAGGAGGUCAUGGUUUAUUGUGAUUUUUCGGUCAGAGGGAAAAACAGGAGGCAGCCUGGAAGAUGGAGGCCCUAGACAGUAUAUAUGGCUUCUGCUCUUCUCUUCCUUCCCCUCCCUGUAACAGCCUUCGGCAUCCAGAAGCCCCUUAGAUGGAGCUCCGAGGAUGACAGUCCCUCAUGUUCUUCAGGGGCAGCCCUUGAAUUAAUUGGAUUCCUUCCUACCAACUUCGAGCUCUGAAUAUUGGCCUUUGAGUGGCGGGCAGUUGGUCUGCAUCUCGUAAUAGUGACGCCUUGUUUUAUUCCAGUUCUUGCACAGGAAACAAGUGCCCUUUGCACAGCCCACACUUUUGUACUUUUCUUUGGUGAUUUCGCUGUUUAAAAGUGCCAAAGUGCUGUGUAGUGUGUCAUGUGCAAGAAGGCUACAAAGUGCCUUUUGGAAAAAGCCCCAUGUGCCAGCUUUGUUCAGGCAUGAAUUACAGGGCUGGCAGAUGUGAGUCCAAAGCUAGCGAGUUAACAUUUAAGGUUAUAUAUAAUCUUUAAACAGAAACACAUAACGCAAGGUUACAUAUUGGUCAACUGAUGACAGCGCUGUGACCAGAGGCUGGCAGGAAUCUAACCCUGUAUGUCCCUGGACAACAGUGCAGGGUUCACAAAGUCAGUGUUCAUGGUGACCUUAGAGAACAUAACCACUACAGAUAAAAUCCAACAGUGUGUAUGUCAGGGACAUAGUGACCAUCAUUUCUUUUCUCCUAUAGUUCCGCUCAUUGAGGCUUAGCUUGUGGAAAAGUAAUGUCUGUUUUAAGGGCUCCGCUGGUGAGCCCUAGAGACUGUGGCCAGGGUCAGAGGCAGGGGGUUGGAAAGCAGGCAUACAGCAGACUGCCUGAGCAUAGACCUUUCCAAGGAGACCUUGAACAAUUGACUUCAGCCCUCUUUUCCAUAUCUUCAAAGGAGCACCUGUAUUGUGUCUAUAAAAGGUGAUGAUAUGGUGAGAAUUAGAUACGUUCAUUUUUAUCAGGUUGUCUUAGUUACUUCCUGUCACCGGAACAUAAUCCCCUGCACCCACAACUUAAAGGAGGAGAAGUUUAUUUUGGCUCACAGUUUCAGUCCAUGGUUUGCUGGCUCCAAGGCAGAAACAGGAUGGCAGAGGAAAAGGUGCCCAAUUCAUGACAGCCAGGAAGGAGAGAGAAAGAGAGAGAGGGACAGAGGAGAGAGAGAGAGAGAGAGAGAGAGAGAGAGGACACAGGUGGGCACAAGAACACUAUGCUCUUCCAGGCCAUGCCCCCAGUGACCCACCUCCAACCAGGCCCCAGCUUCUAACAGCAAGUUGGCUAUAGAGCAUCCUACUCCAGUGACCUUCCAAAUGCCGCUCCUCUGAAUACAUACUACUAUACUACUACUCUGGGAGGACAUUUAUCUCUCACCCUAACACAGAUGUUUAGCACACAGCUUGGUAAACAGGGCUAGGAUUGGGGUGAGUGCCAGGGAUGCAUGCAUUGUGUGAACACUUGCCUUGCCAAUGCCUUACUUGUCUUUCUUAUUUCAUGGUGUCCUGGCCCCGCUGGCGAAUGGAGAUGAGCUCUGCUGUUAUUAAAGGAAGUCCUGCUGUUGGCUGGCUUGGUCUCUCUGAGCCCCAGCGGUGACUGUGGGCACGGUUCGCUCCCUCUCUGGGCUGCAGUUCUUCCAUCUGGAUCCUGGAUCUGGGAUCCAGUCAUUUACUACCGUCAAUAAGUUUCCUCAAAUUGCAGCUGGCUUUCUACAAAAGAGAUGACCCCAUCUAGUAGCCUUCAUCUUGAAUUCAGG
rnacentral:lncRNA from 1 species